UUGCUCAUGGGGGAACCCCACAACACUCUUCUUGUCACACCUUGAUCUUCUCCAGCUGCCCUUUGCCCAAGAGGGAGCCAGCCUCACAUGCCUGCGUAGACUCCAUGCAUGCUGUUCAAUCACAGGGCUUGAAGGACCUUUGGAAACCUAUCAAAUCCAAUCUCUUUAUUUUACCAUAGAGGAAUCUGAAGCCCAGAGAGGAGUAAUUGUCCCAGGUGAGGCUAGAGCUACAGCCUGCCAGAAUCAGCACUCCUUAGCCAGAGAGCUGAGGGACCACUGUGCCAGUCCCCACCCUGCAUGCUAUGCUGGGACAGCUGGAGAUGGUGGGCAACGGAAACUGUGUAUCUCAUCCCUCAUGCCGGUCUCUGCUCCGCAGACACCCAUCCUUGGCUUCUUCCAAAGGUGGUGGCUUUUCCUUCUAGGUCCUUGUCCAUCGGCACUGCCUUCACCCUGGGACCGGCUAAUCCAUGUUAGAUGACUGUGAAGAACCCUGAGGACCAGUGCCCUGCCUCCAGCUGUCCUUUCAUUACUGAGUGCCUGGAGUGCAGGGAGGCUGAGCGAAGCCUGUUGUCUGGGGAGUGGCCGGGAAGACUGGCGCUCCAGGCUAAGCGUCAUUGCGGCCAAGAAGUCAUCAGGCUCUGAUUCAUCCUAUCACUAAGCACUGGAAUGGAACUUUCUGAGAACACCCCUAAAGGUGACGACAUGGACAAAGGCUGCUCCAUGGCUUCAAGGGGCAUCUUCCCUCAGAGCCCUGGAAUGCCACGCCUCUGUUUAUCUCUGCACAGAGUGCGCACAAACUGUCUACCUCUGGUGUCUCUGGGGCUCAGCAUGCUGUUGGCAUUUAAUCAAUGUGAAAAAUCAGGAACAUCCAAGCCACUGACCUUCACAGAAAGGCCUUUGAGACCACUGCCAGGGCGUUCCUCCUUCAUGAGGCCUGAUUGGUCCUUGCCAGACAACACAGCUGGACAGGGGAAGAGAAAAGCAGGCCUCUAGCUCCUGGAGUUCCUGGAGAGUCACCAAGCGGGUUGUCCUGCACCAGCCCAGGACCAGAGGUCACAAUAACAUGGGACGCAGCCAGGCACUCUGACUAAGGGGCCUGGGAUGUUUGACACUUCAAGCCAAGGGCUGUGGCCUUUGCUCCCAUGCUCCUGGUCCUGUGAGCAGGCUCUGCCUCACCACAGACUGCCAGCGACACUCAGUCACUUGGAAAUGCAGCAGAGCUUUGGGCGUAGAAGGCAGAACUAAAUCCGGGAUGGUUGUGAGGAUUGCAGGAGCAAGUUUGUAGCACGGUGCUGGGAAGACCAUGCAUGUCCACUAAAUGGCAGCUCUUAUAUUAUCCUAAUGUGAUGUGGAGGACAGAAGAAAAGAAAGGGAAACUGGAGUGACCGCAGACUCAGAGAAUCGGCUGCUAUGGACGGAGGUGCCUGGGGAACGCUGAGCUUCUGCUCAGGGCUGGCAGUCCUGCCCUUCACUGGCGUCCUCCGGCUGCAGCUAGGUCUGGGAGGCAGGAUGGGGGACUCAGGUCGCAGGUUAGAUCCCGAGGCCAUAAAACCAGUAGUCAAAACCAACAAUAUUUGAGUUCAUGGAAGCUCAUCUCAGGAGAGAAACAAGUCAUUGUGUCCUCGUCACUGGGCUCAUUAAAAACUAUAUGAUUGAACUUGAAUUCACCCCAAAUGGUAGGCAUUUUGGUGAAUUUAGAAAUUUAUCAGCGAAUGACUCAUUAAACCUUUGCUCUUCAUCCUUUUGCCUUGGAAACCCCCUCUUCCUCGGGCCACUCCUAAAGUGGCCCAAACAGCCUAAAGUUCUCGUGGGUCCUUUCGAGGGCAAACAUAGAUUUGAUUCCCUUUAAAAUUGAUUCCAAAC